AUAUUCAAUUUUAAGAAAUAUGAAACUUUAAAAUGCAACUUAAAGAAUGGAAGAACAAACAAAUGAUUUUAAAGUGGCUUCGGUAACAUGUUGAAGAUGAUGAAAUAAUCAAAUAACUGUUGGAAGACUACAGAACCAAGAACUGGUUUGGUCUGUGGUCAAUGGGGUUUGGUCUGUGGUCAAUGGGGUUUGGUCUGUGGUCAAUGGGGUUUGGUCUGUGGUCAAUGGGGUUUGGUCUGUGGUCAAUGGGGUUUGGUCUGUGGACAAUGGGGUUUGGUCUGUGGUCAAUGGGGUCAGUGAUGUCACAUGGUUUAGUCAGUGCAUUUUAUUUUCACCGCUUUAAACAAUGGAAAAUACAUUUUUGAAUUCAUGGACUUUUUGACUCUGCUGUGUAUAUGAAAAUGUGUUUGCUAUAGAAAUGAAAAGGGAUGGAUGUGGUUGUAACAAAGAACGCAUACAGUCCAAUCAGCCUGCUAUACCAGCCUGAUAAGCCAAUCACUGUAGCAUGGUCUCAGGUCCGUUUGUACCCUCUUGCCUACUCCAAUGACCAUACUGUAGGUAGGCAAGACAGUACAAACUGAUCUGGGACCAGGCUAAUAUCACUCUAGUCUUUAGCCUCAAAGAACCAGGUUGUCAAUUUAGUUCAAAACAUAGAUAUGGAAUUACAUAGAUUCUAUUUCUAUAUUUUAAAGAUCGACUCUGGUCUCCAUGCAGUAAGUGUGUUCUGUUUAGUGUUUGUUAGCCUUUCUAGGGAUUUACUAUUCUGUAAUAGUUUAGCAUCCAUAGAUCCAUCUAGAGCACUGUCUGUAUGGACUAUUUUUGUAUCUCAAAAAAGAAAAAUUACAUUUAAGAAUAUCAAGAAAUUACCUGGAAUUUACCUGGAAGUGAGUUAAAAGUACAUGUAUUUAUGUUUUAUUGUUGCCAAAGAGAAGUAUUCAAUGAAGUCUUGGGGCAAAUAGGAACAUAGGAUAUUUGAUCUAGAUUGUUUUAACCCACUAGUGGUGAGACUACAGCCUGGGUACCAGUCUGUUUGUGCCAUCAUGCAAUUCCUGGUGCCCAGGCUAGUGAGACGAAAGGGAUGUGAUGAUGAGCAAUGUCAGGCCUUGCCCUGGUCGUGAUUUAAACGAGCAGGACUAGUUUGGAAAUGCUGUCAGUAAGAUGCGUCCUGGUCGUGAUUUAAACAAGCAGGACUAGUGUAGGGAUGCUGUCAGUAAGAUGCGUCCUGGUCGUGAUUUAAACAAACAGGACUAGUUUAGGGAUGCUGUCAGUAAGAUGCGUCCUGGUCGUGAUUUAAACAAACAGGACUAUUUUAGGGAUGCUGUCAGUAAGAUGUGCCCUGGUCGUGAUUUAAACAAACAGGACUAGUUUAGGGAUGCUGUCAGUAAGAUGUGUCCUGGUCGUGAUUUAAACAAACAGGACUAGUUUAGGGAUGCUGUCAGUAAGAUGUGCCCUGGUCAUGAUUUAAACAAACAGGACUAGUUUAGGGAUGCUGUCAGUAAGAUGUGCCCUGGUCGUGAUUUAAACAAACAGGACUAGUUUAGGGAUGCUGUCAGUAAGAUGUGUCCUGGUCGUGAUUUAAACAAACAGGACUAGUUUAGGGAUGCUGUCAGUAAGAUGUGCCCUGGUCGUGAUUUAAACAAACAGGACUAGUUUAGGGAUGCUGUCAGUAAGAUGUGCCCUGGUCAUGAUUUAAACAAACAGGACUAGUUUAGGGAUGCUGUCAGUAAGAGGUGCCCUGGUCAUGAUUUAAACAAACAGGACUAGUUUAGGGAUGCUGUCAGUAAGAUGUGCCCUGGUCGUGAUUUAAACAAACAGGACUAGUUUAGGGAUGCUGUCAGUAAGAUGUGCCCUGGUCGUGAUUUAAACAAACAGGACUAGUUUAGGGAUGCUGUCAGUAAGAUGUGCCCUGGUCGUGAUUUAAACAAACAGGACUAGUUUAGGGAUGCUGUCAGUAAGAUGUGCCCUGGUCAUGAUUUAAACAAACAGGACUAGUUUAGGGAUGCUGUCAGUAAGAGGUGCCCUGGUCAUGAUUUAAACAAACAGGACUAGUUUAGGGAUGCUGUCAGUAAGAGGUGCCCCGCCCCACUCUACUUUCUGUACGUUAUGACAUAUAAAUAAAGUGUUCUACACAUCAA